UAAAACGCUAUGAGAAAGUUAAGUAAGUGUUCAGCACCUGUAAGCGAGCUUCGUUUGGUGAGAGGAAGCCAGAGUUGAACAGUGAAAAUCCCUUUUGAGCGACGUACCGAAUUUAAGUAACGUACGUUGGGCACUCCCAUUAUCGAGUUAGCGUAUCGUCCUUGCGACCGUACGUGAAGAGGUUAUUUUAGUGAUAAAAUAACGAUUAUAAGGUGGUACAGUGCAAAAGCACCCUUAGU
rnacentral:ncRNA from 1 species